GAUGAACGCUGGCGGCGUGCCUAAUACAUGCCAGUCGAGCGAACAGACGAGGAGCUUGCUCCUCUGACGUUAGCGGCGGACGGGUGAGUAACACGUGGAUAACCUACCUAUAAGACUGGGAUAACUUCGGGAAACCGGAGCUAAUACCGGAUAAUAUAUUGAACCGCAUGGUUCAAUAGUGAAAGACGGUUUUGCUGUCACUUAUAGAUGGAUCCUCGCCGCAUUAGCUAGUUGGUAAGGUAACGGCUUACCAAGGCAACGAUGCGUAGCCGACCUGAGAGGGUGAUCGGCCACACGGGAACUGAGACACGGUCCAGACUCCUACGGGAGGCAGCAGUAGGGAAUCUUCCGCAAUGGGCGAAAGCCUGACGGAGCAACGCCGCGUGAGUGAUGAAGGUCUUCGGAUCGUAAAACUCUGUUAUUAGGGAAGAACAAAUGUGUAAGUAACUAUGCACGUCUUGACGGUACCUAAUCAGAAAGCCACGGCUAACUACGUG
rnacentral:rRNA from 1 species